GGCCGUGUGGCGAAAUGGCAUCGCGUCUGACUACGACUUCCUGUCAUGGAGGAUUAUCAGGAGAUUGCAGGUUCGACCCCUGUCUCGGUCA